rnacentral:rRNA from 1 species
UGGGGAAUUUUGGACAAUGGGCGAAAGCCUGAUCCAGCCAUGCCGCGUGCAGGAUGAAGGCCUUCGGGUUGUAAACUGCUUUUGUACGGAACGAAAAGCCUCUUUCUAAUAAAGAGAGGUCAUGACGGUACCGUAAGAAUAAGCACCGGCUAACUACGUGCCAGCAGCCGCGGUAAUACGUAGGGUGCAAGCGUUAAUCGGAAUUACUGGGCGUAAAGCGUGCGCAGGCGGUUUUGUAAGACAGAGGUGAAAUCCCCGGGCUCAACCUGGGAACUGCCUUUGUGACUGCAAGGCUGGAGUGCGGCAGAGGGGGAUGGAAUUCCGCGUGUAGCAGUGAAGUGCGUAGAUAUGCGGAGGAACACCGAUGGCGAAGGCAAUCCCCUGGGCCUGCACUGACGCUCAUGCACGAAAGCGUGGGGAGCAAACAGGAUUAGAUACCCUGGUAGUCCACGCCCUAAACGAUGUCAACUGGUUGUUGGGUCUUCACUGACUCAGUAACGAAGCUAACGCGUGAAGUUGACCGCCUGGGGAGUACGGCCGCAAGGUUGAAACUCAAAUGAAUUGACGGGGUCAUAGCUG